rnacentral:lncRNA from 1 species
GCCACCAUCGUGCAUGGUGGACCCUCCUGGCCUGUAACCUGUCUGCCUGAAUGUAUCUGCACUGCAGAAUGCACUGAACAUUUAUCAGACAGACUAUGGACCUUUACGUCUGAGGGGAAUAGUGCAGUUUGGCUCUGCACUCUCCCUUCCUUCCUGGACUUUGGAAAGCUCAGUUUGAAAAGAGGAUCUCCUGAUGAUGUGGUAGCUUGUCCUCUAUCAGCCUUCUCACUGUAAUGCAGUGCAGCCAGGUAGAGUCUUAAACAGUAAAAAGACAAUAAAACAUGAAAACAAUUGCAAGAAAUGGGCAAACAAUUUAAAAUGUUCUCAACAAGUAAUCACAGUUUAAUUAUCCUGCACAGAAUUCCCAGAUAUGGAUAGGAGUAACACAUGACAGCACUGUUACAGUAUAAUUCAAGCACUAAAGGCUGCAACGCGUUACGUUACUCUAACCUGACCUCUUUAUUUCAGUAACGAGUAAUCUAAUGCGUUAACAUUAACAAACAAGUGAUCAGAUUAAAGUUAUUUAUUCAAGUCACUGUGCAUUAGAAUUAUUUUGGUCAUUUUCCUUAGUAAAAAUAUAUAUUCUUGCUUUCUUCUUGCGUCUCGGGGAGUGAUGUCACGUACGUCUCAAGUCACGUUUUUACCAUGAGGAUAACUCACGUGUAACACCACGCAGCAACACAAAAAUGGAGGGAGGAGAGAGAUGCGCGUUUUUCUAGCUGUUAUUAAAAACAAAAAAGCACAAAUACUUGGUCAAGGGCCCGGUCCGGCCCGGCCCGUCCGAGGAUAGCGGCGGGCUCGGGCAGAGAAUCUAAACUCUGUGUAGCACUCAGCAGUACACUCGUUUUGC